ACGUGCUAGAUGUCCCCCAAAAAA
rnacentral:siRNA from 1 species